CACAAUGGUGCCAUCGUCCCUUUAGUGACUGAGCUUUCCUCCAGCUGUCCUUCUACUUCUUCUCCAGUCAGGGGUGUCGACUAAGGUUUGGGAGCUGACUGAAGAAAGAUUUAUAUACCUCUCUUCGCUUGAUCUAGGUCGUCCAAUUUGGUGGACAUAGAGGCACAAGGGUCGUCUGAUCGAGCCUAUUUAGGAAAUUAAUCUGCACUAUUCGCACAUGCUAGAGUAGCCCUGAGUUGUCCGAUCGACCUGACACGUGGAUUGCCAGCGUGGGCUUCCCGCGUGGAGCCUAUGUUGACGCGGCCGCUAUGCAGCGUGUGGCGAUUGAUCGCGUUGUUGACUGGGCGUCCAC
rnacentral:lncRNA from 1 species